rnacentral:tRNA from 1 species
GGGGAUUUAGCUCAGUGGUAGAGCACUUCUCUGGUGUGCCCAAGGCCCUGGGAUUGAUCCCCAGAAACCACA